CCCUCGGGACGCAGCAGUAGGGAAUCUUCCACAAUGGACGAAAGUCUGAUGGAGCAACGCCGCGUGAGUGAAGAAGGGUUUCGGCUCGUAAAGCUCUGUUGGUAGUGAAGAAAGAUAGAGGUAGUAACUGGCCUUUAUUUGACGGUAAUUACUUAGAAAGUCACGGCUAACUACGUGCCAGCAGCCGCGGUAAUACGUAGGUGGCAAGCGUUGUCCGGAUUUAUUGGGCGUAAAGCGAGUGCAGGCGGUUCAAUAAGUCUGAUGUGAAAACCUUCGGCUCAACCGGGGGAAUGCAUCAGAAACUU
rnacentral:rRNA from 1 species